UACGGAGGGUGCAAGCGUUGUUCGGAUUCAUUGGGCGUAAAGGGUGCGUAGGCGGCGGGGUAAGUCUGAUGUGAAAUCCCGGGGCUCAACCCCGGAACUGCAUUGGAUACUGCCUUGCUAGAGUACUGGAGAGGAGAUUGGAAUUUACGGUGUAGCAGUGAAAUGCGUAGAUAUCGUAAGGAAGACCAGUGGCGAAGGCGAAUCUCUGGACAGUUACUGACGCUGAGGCACGAAGGCCAGGGGAGCAAACGGG
rnacentral:rRNA from 1 species